UUCCAGACUCCUACGGGAGGCAGCAGUGAGGAAUAUUGGUCAAUGGUCGGGAGACUGAACCAGCCAAGCCGCGUGAGGGAUGAAGGUACAGAGUAUCGUAAACCUCUUUUGUCAGGGAACAAAGGCGGGGACGUGUCCCCGGAUGAGUGUACCUGAAGAAAAAGCAUCGGCUAACUCCGUGCCAGCAGCCGCGGUAAUACGGAGGAUGCGAGCGUUAUCCGGAUUUAUUGGGUUUAAAGGGUGCGCAGGCGGGGAUUUAGGCCAGCGGAAAAUUGGCGGGGCUCACCCCCGGCGAGCCGUUGAAACUGGCCUGCUAGAGUGGGCGAGAAGUAUGCGGAAUGCGUGGUGUAGCGGUGAAAUGCAUAGAUAUCACGCAGAACUCCGAUUGCGAAGGCAGCAUACCGGCGCCCAACUGACGCUCAGGCACGAAAGCGUGGGUAUCGAACAGGAUUAGAUACCCCGGUAC
rnacentral:rRNA from 1 species